rnacentral:rRNA from 1 species
GGACGAACGCUGGCGGCGUGCUUAACACAUGCAAGUCGAACGGUGAACCCUCUUCGGAGGGGGAUCAGUGGCGAACGGGUGAGUAACACGUGAGCAACCUGCCCCCAACUCUGGGAUAACUCCGGGAAACCGGAGCUAAUACCGGAUAUGAAGCACUCGGGCAUCCGAUGUGCUUGGAAAAGAUUUUAUCGGUUGGGGAUGGGCUCGCGGCCUAUCAGCUUGUUGGUGGGGUAACGGCCCACCAAGGCGACGACGGGUAGCCGGCCUGAGAGGGCGACCGGCCACACUGGGACUGAGACACGGCCCAGACUCCUACGGGAGGCAGCAGUGGGGAAUAUUGCGCAAUGGGCGAAAGCCUGACGCAGCGACGCCGCGUGAGGGACGAAGGCCUCGGUUGUAACGUACUUUCUAGCAGGAAGGAAGACGAAAGUAGACGGUACCGUACGCAGAAGAAGAC